rfam:Bacteroides sp. CAG:770 genomic scaffold, scf137
GCGAGCGUGUUGUAAUUGGUAGCCAAGCCAGACUUAGGAUCUGGUGCCUUCGUGCGUAUGGGUUCGAGUCCCUUCGCUCGCA